AGGGCACCACCAGGAGUGGAGCCUGCGGCUUAAUUUGACUCAACACGGGAAAACUCACCCGGCCCGGACACUAGAAGGAUUGACAGAUUGAGAGCUCUUUCUUGAUUUAGUGGGUGGUGGUGCAUGGCCGUUCUUAGUUGGUGGAGCGAUUUGUCUGGUUAAUUCCGAUAACGAACGAGACUCUAGCCUAUUAAAUAGAGUCGGGCAUUCUUCGUACUGCCCGACGACUUCUUAGAGGGAUUCGCGGCAACUAAGCCGCAUGAGAGAGAGCAAUAACAGGUCUGUGAUGCCCUUAGAUGUCCGGGGCUGCACGCGCGCUACACUGGCAAAAUCAGCGUGCUUGUCCUUCCCCGAAAGGGGUUGGUAAACCCUUGAAAAUUUGCCGUGAUUGGGAUUGGAGAUUGCAAUUAUUUUCCAUGAACGAGGAAUUCCAAGUAAGUGCGAGUCAUCAGCUCGCGUUGAUUACGUCCCUGCCCUUCGUACACACCGCCCGUCGCUGCCCGGGACUGAACCAUUUCG
rnacentral:rRNA from 1 species